rnacentral:rRNA from 1 species
UACGAAGGGUGCAAGCGUUGCUCGGAAUUAUUGGGCGUAAAGGGUUGGUAGGUGGUUGCGUAUGUCUGGGGUGAAAUCCCUGAGCUUAACUCAGGACGUGCCUUGGAAACUGCGUAACUAGAGUACUAGAGAGGUUCGUGGAAUUCUUGGUGUAGCGGUGAAAUGCGUAGAGAUCAAGAGGAACAUCAGCGGGGAAGGCGACGAACUGGAUAGUAACUGACACGGAACAACGAAAGCGUGGGGAGCAAACAGG